rnacentral:rRNA from 1 species
GCCCAAGAGAUCGGGAUAACACCUGGAAACAGAUGCUAAUACCGUAUAACAACAGAUGAUGCCUAUCAACUGUUUAAAAGAUGGUUCUGCUAUCACUCUUGGAUGGACCUGCGGUGCAUUAGCUAGUUGGUAGGGUAACGGCCUACCAAGGCGAUGAUGCAUAGCCGAGUUGAGAGACUGAUCGGCCACAUUGGGACUGAGACACGGCCCAAACUCCUACGGGAGGCAGCAGCA